GCCAUUUAGUGUUUGAAGUGUUACAGGCCAAAAUAGAAAAAAAUAGUAAGAGCAUAUUGGUAACUUUGACCGGUUAAGCAAAAAGACAGGAAAGUCAUUGGCUAGCCUUGUUAGGUGCUGACUACGACUGUAGAUGAGCCAUUAAGUGUUUGAAGUGUUACAGGCCAAAAUAGAAAAAAAAUUGUACUUUUUUUUUUUUUUUACUGACUUUGUUUAUCAAUAUACAUGCAUAAAUACUUUUUUUUUUUUUAACUGAUUUUGUUUAUCAAUAUACAUGCAUUAAUACUUUUUUUUUUUUUUAACUGAUUUUGUUCAUCAAUAUACAUGCAUAAAUACUUUCUUUUUUUUUUUUUUAACUGAUUUUGUUCAUCAAUUUACAUGCAUAAAUACUUUUUUUUUUUUUUAAACUGAUUUUGUUCAUCAAUAUACAUGCAUUAAUACUUUUUUUUUUAACUGAUUUAAGUGUUACAGGCCAAAAGAGAAAAAGAUUGUAUGAGCAUAUUGGUAACCUCGACCGGUUAAGCAAAAAAGCCAGGAAAGUCAUUGGCGAGACUUGUUAGGUGCUGACUAAGACUGUAGAUGAGCCAUUAAGUGCUUGAAGUGUUACAGGCCAAAAGAAAAAAAUAAUGUAUGAGCAUAUUGGUAACCUCGACCGGUUAAGCAAAAAAGGCAGGAAAGUCAUUGGCUAGCCUUGUUAGGUGCUGACUACGACUGUAGAUGAGCCAUUAAGUGUUUGAAGUGUUACAGGCCAAAAUAGAAAAAAAUAUACUUUUUUUUUUUUUUAACUGAUUUUGUUUAUCAAUAUACAUGCAUAAAUACUUUUUUUUUUUUUUUAACUGAUUUUGUUCAUCAAUAUACAUGCAUAAAUACUUUUUUUUUUUUUUUUUUAACUGAUUUUGUUCAUCAAUAUACAUGCAUAAAUACUUUUUUUUUAACUGAUUUAAGUGUUACAGGCCAAAAGAGAAAAAGAUUGUAUGAGCCAAUGUAACCUCGACCGGUUAAGCAAAAAAGGCAGGAAAGUCAUUGGCUAGCCUUGUUAGGUACUGACUAAGACUGUAGAUGAGCCAUUAAGUGUUUGAAGUGUUACAGGCCAAAAUAGAAAAAAAUUGUACUUUUUUUUUUUUUUUUUUUUUUACUGAUUUUGUUUAUCAAUAUACAUGCAUAAAUACUUUUUUUUUUUUUUUUAACUGAUUUUGUUUAUCAAUAUACAUGCAUUAAUACUUUUUUUUUUUUAACUGAUUUUGUUCAUCAAUAUACAUGCAUAAAUACUUUUUUUUUUUUUUUUUAACUGAUUUUGUUCAUCAAUUUACAUGCAUGAAUACUUCUUUUUUUUUUUUUAAACUGAUUUUGUUCAUCAAUAUACAUGCAUUAAUACUUUUUUUUUUAACUGAUUUAAGUGUUACAGGCCAAAAGAGAAAAAGAUUGUAUGAGCAUAUUGGUAACCUCGACCGGUUAAGCAAAAAAGCCAGGAAAGUCAUUGGCGAGACUUGUUAGGUGCUGACUAAGACUGUAGAUGAGCCAUUAUUGAUACUGAUUUUGUUUAUCAAUAUAUACAUGCAUUAAUACUUUUUUUUUUUUUAACUGAUUUUGUUCAUCAAUAUACAUGCAUAAAUACUUUUUUUUUUUUUUUUUAACUGAUUUUGUUCAUCAAUUUACAUGCAUGAAUACUUCUUUUUUUUUUUUUAAACUGAUUUUGUUCAUCAAUAUACAUGCAUUAAUACUUUUUUUUUUAACUGAUUUAAGUGUUACAGGCCAAAAGAGAAAAAGAUUGUAUGAGCAUAUUGGUAACCUCGACCGGUUAAGCAAAAAAGCCAGGAAAGUCAUUGGCGAGACUUGUUAGGUGCUGACUAAGACUGUAGAUGAGCCAUUAUUGAUACUGAUUUUGUUUAUCAAUAUACAUGCAUUAAUACUUUUUUUUUUUUUAACUGAUUUUGUUCAUCAAUAUACAUGCAUAAAUACUUUUUUUUUUUUUUUUUAACUGAUUUUGUUCAUCAAUUUACAUGCAUGAAUACUUCUUUUUUUUUUUUUAAACUGAUUUUGUUCAUCAAUAUACAUGCAUUAAUACUUUUUUUUUUAACUGAUUUAAGUGUUACAGGCCAAAAGAGAAAAAGAUUGUAUGAGCAUAUUGGUAACCUCGACCGGUUAAGCAAAAAAGCCAGGAAAGUCAUUGGCGAGACUUGUUAGGUGCUGACUAAGACUGUAGAUGAGCCAUUAAGUGCUUGAAGUGUUACAGGCCAAAAUAAAAAAAUAAUGUAUGAGCAUAUUGGUAACCUCGACCGGUUAAGCAAAAAAGGCAGGAAAGUCAUUGGCUAGCCUUGUUAGGUGCUGACUAAGACUAAGACUAAGAUGAGCCAUUUAGUGUUUGAAGUGUUACAGGCCAAAAUAGAAAAAAAUAGUAAGAGCAUAUUGGUAACUUUGACCGGUUAAGCAAAAAGACAGGAAAGUCAUUGGCUAGCCUUGUUAGGUGCUGACUACGACUGCAGAUGA
ensembl:lncRNA